rnacentral:rRNA from 1 species
CUCAGUUCGGAUCGGAGUCUGCAACCCGACUCCGUGAAGCUGGAUUCGCUAGUAAUCGCGCAUCAGCCAUGGCGCGGUGAAUACGUUCCCGGGCCUUGUACACACCGCCCGUCAAGCCAUGGGAGCCGGGUGCGCCUGAAGUCCGGGACCGCGAGGACCGGCCUAAGGCGAAACUGGUGACUGGGGCUAAGUCGUAACAAGGUAAC